GACGAACGCUGGCGGCGUGCUUAAUACAUGCAAGUCAACUGAACUUGAAGUAGCAAUAUUUCAAGGGAGGUGGCGCACGGGUGAGUAACACGUAGGUAAUCUGCCUUUAGGUCUGACAUAAUUCCGCGAAAGCGGGACUAACUUCAGAUGAUGCAGCGGCUCGACAUCGAGACAGUUGUUAAAUCUUCGGAGCCUAAAGAUGAGCCUGCGUCUGAUUAGGUAGUUGGCGGAGUAAAAGCCCACCAAGCCUGCGAUCAGUAGCUGGUCUGAGAGGAUGAUCAGCCACACUGGGACUGAGACACGGCCCAGACUCCUACGGGAGGCAGCAGUGGGGAAUAUUGGACAAUGGGCGAAAGCCUGAUGCAGCAACGCCGCGUGAGCGAUGAAGGC
rnacentral:rRNA from 1 species